GAUGAGUUGCGAACGGGUGAGUAACGCGUAGGUAACCUGCCUGGUAGCGGGGGAUAACUAUUGGAAACGAUAGCUAAUACCGCAUAAGAGUAGAUGUUGCAUGACAUUCGCUUAAAAGGUGCAAUUGCAUCACUACCAGAUGGACCUGCGUUGUAUUAGCUAGUUGGUGAGGUAACGGCUCACCAAGGCAACGAUACAUAGCCGACCUGAGAGGGUGAUCGGCCACACUGGGACUGAGACACGGCCCAGACUCCUACGGGAGGCAGCAGUAGGGAAUCUUCGGCAAUGGACGGAAGUCUGACCCGAGCAAACGCCGCGUGAGUGAAAGAAAGGUUUUUCGGGAUUCGUAAAAGCUUCUGUUGUA
rnacentral:rRNA from 1 species